UACGGGGGGGGUAAGCGUUGUUCGGAAUUACUGGGCGUAAAGGGCUCGUAGGCGGCCAACUAAGUCAUACGUGAAAUCCCUCAGCUUAACUGGGGAACUGCGUGUGAUACUGGAUGGCUUGGAUUUGGGAGAGGGAUGCGGAAUUCCAGGUGUAGCGGUGAAAUGCGUAGAUAUCGCUUGGAACGCCGAAGGUGAAAACAGGCUGCUGGGGUUGUGCCGACGCUGAGACACGAAAGCCAGGGGAGCAAACGGG
rnacentral:rRNA from 1 species